rnacentral:rRNA from 1 species
UACGGAGGGUGCGAGCGUUGUCCGGAAUUAUUGGGCGUAAAGGGCUCGUAGGCGGUUUGUCGCGUCGGGAGUGAAAACUCAGGGCUCAACCCUGAGCGUGCUUCCGAUACGGGCAGACUAGAGGUAUGCAGGGGAGAACGGAAUUCCUGGUGUAGCGGUGGAAUGCGCAGAUAUCAGGAGGGACACCGGUGGCGAAGGCGGUUCUCUGGGCAUUACCUGACGCUGAGGAGCGAAAGCAUGGGGAGCGAACAGG